rnacentral:rRNA from 1 species
UAGUCCACGCCCUAAACGAUGCUAACUCGAUGUUUGGGUCUUGAACUUGAGCAUCCAAGGGAAACCAUUAAGUUAGCCACCUGGGGAGUACGUUCGCAAGAAUGAAACUCAAAGGAAUUGACGGGGGCCCGCACAAGCGGUGGAGCAUGUGGCUUAAUUCGAUGCAACGCGAAGAACCUUACCUGGACUUGACAUAGUGACCCUUCGGGGGUGUUGAGGAAACUCGCUUUGCGCAUACAGGUGCUGCAUGGCUGUCGUCAGCUCGUGCCGUGAGGUGUUGGAUUAAGUCCCGUAACGAGCGCAACCCUUGUCCUUAGUUGCCAGCACGUAAUGGUGGGGACUCUAAGGAGACUGCCGGUGACAAACCGGAGGAAGGUAGGGACGACGUCAAGUCAUCAUGGCCCUUAUGGGUAGGGCUACACACGUGCUACAAUGGGCAGUACAGAGGGUUGCGAAGCCGCGAGGUGGAGCUAAUCUCAGAAAACUGUUCGUAGUCCGGAUUGCACUCUGCAAC